GACGAACGCUGGCGGCGUGCUUAACACAUGCAAGUCGAACGGAAAGGCCCUGCUUGCAGGGUGCUCGAGUGGCGAACGGGUGAGUAACACGUGGGUGAUCUGCCCCUUACUUUGGGAUAAGCCUUGGAAACUGGGUCUAAUACUGGAUAGGACCAUGCUGUAGGUGGUGUGGUGGAAAGAUUAGUUUCGGUAAGGGGUGAGCUCGCGGCCUAUCAGCUUGUUGGUGGGGUAAUGGCCUACCAAGGCGUCGACGGGUAGCCGGCCUGAGAGGGUGGACGGCCACAUUGGGACUGAGAUACGGCCCAGACGCCUACGGGAGGCAGCAGUGGGGAAUAGUGCACAAUGGGCGCAAGCCUGAUGCAGCGACGCCGCGUGGGGGAUGACGGCCUUCGGGUUGUAAACUCCUUUCAGCCAUGACGAAGCCCUUGUGGUGACGGUAGUGGUAGAAGAAGCACCGGCUAACUACGUG
rnacentral:rRNA from 1 species